CCUACGGGGGGCAGCAGUGAGGAAUAUUGGUCAAUGGGCGCGAGCCUGAACCAGCCAAGUAGCGUGAAGGAUGACUGCCCUACGGGUUGUAAACUUCUUUUAUAAAGGAAUAAAGUGAGGCACGUGUGCCUUUUUGUAUGUACUUUAUGAAUAAGGAUCGGCUAACUCCGUGCCAGCAGCCGCGGUAAUACGGAGGAUCCGAGCGUUAUCCGGAUUUAUUGGGUUUAAAGGGAGCGUAGAUGGGUUGUUAAGUCAGUUGUGAAAGUUUGCGGCUCAACCGUAAAAUUGCAAUUGAUACUGGCGGUCUUGAGUACAGUUGAGGUAGGCGGAAUUCGUGGUGUAGCGGUGAAAUGCUUAGAUAUUACGAAGAACUUCGAUUGCGAAGGCAGCUUACUAAGCUGCCACUGACAUUGAUGCUCGAAAGUGUGGGUAUCAAACAGGAUUAGAUACCCCUGUAGUC
rnacentral:rRNA from 1 species